GCCCGCGCUGCUCAGCGCUACCGCUUCCCCGCAACUGUGCGGAGUGGGAGCCGGUGCCCGGUCCGACCGGCUUGGGCGGCGCGCCUUCACCCGGCGCCAGGUCCGGACCCCUCCCUAGUAGCUUCGCGGCCUCCCUGCCUCCUGUGCGCGGCCUGGCUCGGAGAGGUCGGGCGGGCAGGCUUUCCCGACUGCAGGCGAGGCAGUGCGCGGCUCACCCCAGUCCCCGACCCACGUGAAGCGUACAGGGCAUUUUAUUAACCGGGAAGGACGGUGCGGAAGAGCGAGCAGGACGCCUCUUCACCCCGCGUAGGCAGUGUCGUCGUUGCUGUCACUAAAGGCGGAGGAAGAGAGCUCUUCGCGGGGCGUGCAGACCGGGCACCGCUGCCGCAUGUCGUCCCAGCACGACCAGCAGUACACGGCCUCGCAGUCCAGCGUCCGGCACACGUAGGACUCGGGCGUCUCGGGUGCCUGGCACACCACGCAGCGCCGGCACAGCCAGCGGCGCAGGAGCGGGCAGCCGCGGUGCAGGAUAUCCGCCAGCGGGUGGCGCUGUUGGGAGGUGAGAAAACUGAUGCUUGGAGAUGUGAUCACUGCCCAGGGUCACCCAAUGAUAACAUGCAUGCAUAUGGAACUUGCUGCAUGCCAGCACCAUGAGUCCGCUCCCCAUGCUGUCCUCACCACAUUGCUCAUUUCUGAGGCCUGGAUGGUGGGCUUGCAAGGGAAGAUGACGGUUUUCUCCUCAGCUUUGCGGAGUGGCAGCAGAGUCCGUUUGCCCUGGAAAACAAAUGUCCACACAGUUAGGAAGCCCAAGGGCCCUCUGCCCUUUCCUCUCUGCCUUCCUGGAGCAUGAACCCACACAGGGCACACAGCAGCAAGGCAUCCCCGGGCAGUGCCGUGCCCACUCACCAGCUUCUUCCUGCGGUCAUCGAUCUGGCAGAAGUUCUCCUCAUCUAUCCCCAAACAUGGGCUUCCUUGAGGCACAGUCAUUCAACCAACCAGCCAGCAUUCAUUGAGCACCAUCUAUGUCCUGGGCACUGCUAGGGGAUGGUGAUAACAGGGAGAAGACUCUGUCCCUGCCUUCCAAUUGUGUAGAGGAAGACAUCCCCCUACAUGAUGGGUGAGACAUAGCAGAAGUGAGUAGGGGAUGAGGUGGGGGCUCAGAGGAGGGCAUGGUCAGCCUGUCUGGGAGGGAGUUGCAUGUGUGCAUCUGAGGUAGGGACAGGCAUGCAUCUUACAGGAUGAAUAUCGAGCAGAGUUACAGAGAGGGGGAAACUCCUUGAGGUUUCAGGAAUCACCUAAUCCACUGUGACUCACAAAUUCCUGCCUCUUGGCUUUGCCUGCAGCAUAUCUCCUGGAAGUGUGCUGGGGCAAAACUCAUCCCAGACCACCAUCUCCAUCCUCCCCCAAUACACCCUGGCUCUCCCUGGCUACCCUUGAGCACGGUGCACGUGUGCAUGGGUGCAUGCCUGCAUAUAUAGCUAUCCCCCAUGUAUUUCCCAAAGCCCUACAUAAUGCUUCAGUUUGCUAAGGAAAAAAUGUUAAUUACUGCAAAUGUGUUUAAAACUGUAAAAGUACAUUAAACAAACUCUGUAAAGUGUGAAA
rnacentral:lncRNA from 10 species